UCCGGUUUGUCACCGGCAGUAUCCCUAGAGUCCCCGGCAUUAUCCGCUGGCAACAUAGAACGAGGGUUGCGCUCGUUGCGGGACUUAACCCAACAUCUCACGACACGAGCUGACGACAACCAUGCACCACCUGUAUACCGACCUUGCGGGGCAUCCAUCUCUGAAUGUUUCCGGUAUAUGUCAAACCCAGGUAAGGUUCUUCGCGUUGCAUCGAAUUAAUCCGCAUGCUCCGCCGCUUGUGCGGGCCCCCGUCAAUUCCUUUGAGUUUUAGCCUUGCGGCCGUACUCCCCAGGCGGGGCACUUAAUGCGUUAGCUACGGCACAGAUCACGUUGGUUGUGACCCACACCUAGUGCCCAACGUUUACGGCGUGGACUAC
rnacentral:misc_RNA from 1 species